GGUGUCAUGGUGUAGUUGGUUAGCACGCCAGUUUAACACGCUGAAGAUCUCCAGUUCAAAUCCGGGCGAUGCUA
rfam:Hordeum vulgare subsp. vulgare, WGS project CAJW01000000 data, contig: morex_contig_57200